rnacentral:rRNA from 1 species
GGUAGCAUAAUCAUUAGUUUUUUAAUUGAAAGCUGGAAUGAAGGGCUGGAUGAGAAAGUGACUGUCUCACUCUUAUUUUCAUUGAACUUUAUUUUUAAGUUAAAAAGCUUAAAUUAAAUAAAAAGACGAGAAGACCCUAUAGAGUUUAAUAAAUUUAAAUUUUGAUUGUUAGAAGAAUUUAUUAUAAUUAAAGUUUAAUUUAUUUAGUUGGGGUGACAGGAGAAUUUAGUUAACUUCUAUUUAAUGUUUACAUUGAUUAAUGAAUGGCUGAUCCUGAAGUUUGGAUUAAAAGAAUAAAUUACCUUAGGGAUAACAGCGUAAUUCUUUUGGAGAGUUCUAAUCAAUAAAAGUGAUUGCGACCUCGAUGUUGGAUUAAAGUGAAAUUUGGGUGCAGAAGCUUGAAUUUUU